ACGGGGUGCAGCAGGCGCGAAAAUUUCGCAAUAAGCGAAAGCUUGACGGAGCUAUCCCGAGUGCCCUCCGCUGAGGAGGGCUUUUCGCCAGUGUAGAUAGCUGGUGGAAUAAGGAGAGGGCAAGUCUGGUGUCAGUCGCCGCGGUAAUACCAGCUCUCCGAGUGGUGUGGAUGUUUAUUGGGCCUAAAGCAUCCGUAGCUGGCCAAGUUAGUCCCCUGUUAAAUCCACCGAAUUAAUCGUUGGUGUGCGGGGGAUACUGCUUGGCUAGGGGACGAGAGAGGCAGACGGUAUUUUCGGGGUAGGGGUGAAAUCCUAUAAUCCCGGGAAGACCACCAGUGGCGAAGGCUGUCUGCUAGCACACGCUCGACGGUGAGGGACGAAAGCUGGGGGAGCGAACCGGAUUAGAUACCCGGGUAGUCCCAGCUGUAAACGAUGCGGGCUAGGUGUUGGAAUGGCUACGUGCCAUUUCAGUGCCGCAGGGAAGCCAUUAAGCCCGCCGCCUGGGGAGUACGGCCGCAAGGCUGAAACUUAAAGGAAUUGGCGGGGGAGCAC
rnacentral:rRNA from 1 species